GGGAGGCGUCAGGAUAAGCGAUAUUUAAGCUGUGUCGUGGUAGAUGAGUAAUUGUUUAAUGGGUACACAAAGGGAAAGGAUAGUUCAGCAGAAGAAACGGGGUAGGGAAAAGCAUGGUAAGUUGGAACAGUAGUUUAUUCAGGGAACUGAAAUCAUUUGUUAUGGCCAGAGGCUAGGAUGUGAAAAGGGGCUGGCUAGGUCGGCGGACGGGGUCCUGAGUAAGAGGGGCGUGGAGGUUGUUCUGAGACAUUUGGGUUUUAAUCUGUAGGCAGUGGGAGCCGUCUGCAGUGUUUAUGAAAGGGGAGUGACGUGAUUGGUUUCUAUGUUAGGGAGAGUCCCACAGCAGAGUGGAGAAUGGAGUAGAGCAGGUGGAACUGGGGGCGGGGAAGCCAGGAAAGGAACCGUUGCAGUUUGCUCAUUGGAAUGGAUGUGGAAAUGUCCAGUAACUGAAAAAAAUGAUAACAGCUGCCAUUCAUUGAGCCCCCCGGGUGUGGCCAGAUUCUGUGUGAAGUGCUCUGCGUGCAUUAUCUUAUUACCUUUACAACUACCCUUUGAGCCAAGUGCUGUUAUCUCCAUUUUACAGGGAAGGAAGCUGUGAAGAUGACUUAUAUUAGGCCUACAGGACACCCCAAGUUUCCCUGCGUCCUCUCCUGCCACCCUGAAACCUGUUCUUCACACAACAGCCUGACUCAUCUCUUAAAAUAUGACCGCCAACAACCUCCCAACUGGAUACCUAAAUCUGAGGGUAACUCUUCUAACUGGUGAUUGACAUCUGCCGAAGCAAAGAAUCAGGUGUGUUAUUAAGGCAGAAAUGUUUAUUUAUGCUGAAUGAAAAUUUGCCAGCUGACUUAUACCUUAGCAAUAUGUCCAUUUAUCUCCAUUUCUGGUUUGAGUAGGGUCAGACUCAUGGAAUGUUUGAGACCCUAGAUCUGUGGUUUUCCAACCGUGUGUUGAGGUGCUCUCAGACAUGGCAGGGAGCUCACAGGGGUGCUAAGGGGUGUUUUAAAAUCUUAGGGGAAACCUAAUGUGUUAGUUGCUAGGCUGCCAUAACAAAAUGCCACAGACUGAGUGGCCUAACCACAGAUAUUUAUUUUCUCACAGUUCUGGAGGCUAGAAGUCCAAGAUCAA
rnacentral:lncRNA from 1 species